AAGAAUACUGGAGUGGGUUGCCAUUUCCUUCUCCAGGGGAUCUUCCCGACCCAGGGAUCGAACCCAGGUCUCCCGUACUGCAGGCAGACUCCUUACUGUCUGAGCCACCAGGGGAUCCUACCUGGCAGAGCUGGGCUCAAACACAGGUGUGACCCCAUAGCAAAGCUCUCAGCCUGCUGACUCAACAACUACGCUGCAAGUCAGUGUGGAAUUGGGAACCUCCUGCUUUCCCAUCCUUUGCCAGGUCUUCUAGGCCAAUGGUUCUUAAACUUGAUCAUGCAUCAGAAUCACCUGGAGGGCUUGUUAAAACACAUAUUGCUGAACCCCACCCCCAGAGUUUUUGAUUCAGUAGCUCUAGGGUGGGGCUGAGAAUCUGCAUUUCUACGGAGUUCCCAGGUGAUGACGCUGAUGACGCUGGUCCAAGGACCACACUUUGAAAAUACGGUUUUUUUUAUUUUUUAAGGUGAACCAAUAUGACUCUUUCCUCCCUCUCCUCAUUUCAAAAGUGACACAGGGUCACUUUGUAAAACACAAUAUAUAAAACAUGGAAUAUACAGAAAAAUUGGAAGCAGAGACUAGAAUUCACCUGCAUUCCUCUACUCAGAGAUAAGCAGAGUUAACAGUCUGGCAGUAUCUCAUUAGUUUUCAACAUCCAUGCUGGUGAGACGCAGCAUGACACAUUGGUGCGGAGCAUUCUUUUGGCCCCUUAUAAGAUCCCAGCUCUUCAGCAAGAUCUUGGGGAGUCUGGGACAAGCUUAAAUCCCAUCACUCGCAAAACUGUAUUUAUACUCCCAUCCUUCACUGGAGUGCUGGGAGGGUUACAGGAGAUGAUGUCCUUCUCAAAUACCGGACCCUGUGUCCACUGUGAAGUCCCCGCUCAAAUAAAGACUUGGCUGUUACGUUUGUUUUAACCGAAGGGUGCUUUGGAUACGCUCUUUGCGUUUUCAGCCCUGAGACUCUUCCUUCCCGUCGUAUUCCGUGUGGACCCCUGAAGACCCUCUGGGCUCCAGACACCGACAGGGGGCUCCUACUAGGAGAGGGCAGCAGACCGAGUGGCAGGCGCCGCCGCCCUUAGGGUCGUCGCAGGGGCCUCUCGGCUCAGUCUGCCCGUUUUACAGCCCGGUCUUAACGAGGGUUUUUAACUUUUCAUUCACCAGCAGAGUAGCUCUGACUUUUAAUAACACGACAAAAAUUUGCUCCUGGCAAUCAUGGUUUCGACCACAAAACCACAGCAGGAGGCGUUCCUGGUUAACUCUUUCAGCGCUGCAGGCAGUCUGGAGCCCAAGCGCUCUCGGAGCUUGGGUGGAGUGGCGGCGAGGCCUGAGACCUACUGCGUGCUGAAUACUUAAUCUCUACACCCUUCAUUUCCUCAACGGACUGGACGGGACAGCACUGGCCAACCAGGCGCCCAAUACUCCCUCGCGCCCAACAAAGAUGCUUCUCCAAAUAUGGCGGCCUGACUGCGACCCGUCUAGCUCUCUCACGGAACCGUUUCCCGCGAGAAAAGGGCGUCUGGCAGCGACUUCCGGCGCCCCAGCCGCCCCAGGAUCCGGAGCGACCGACCGACUCCAGCCCCCGAGGCGCUGGGUAGGAACCACUGGGCUGGAGGCACCAGCGGUUUGUGGAGGACUAGAGGCUGGCAGAUGCGCCCAGCCCCAACCACAUGAAAAGUCCCGUGCGCUCCACCUGCCAGCUGCCUUGAGCUGGCUUUUAACUCCACUGCUUGGCCUCCAUGCCCGCCAAGAGCCAGUCUUCGACGUGGCCUGGUAAUUGGGCUCUCACAUUUAUGGCGCUCCUCCACCAGAUUGGGUGGCCCACCUACGGGUGCCCACUGUUUUCCCGACCAGGUAGACGUCUGUAUCCUUACUGGAGUGACGAGGAAACUGAGGGUCAGGAAAGAGAAGCAGAUUCACUAGGAUCCUGAAGUUGCUAAGUGGCAGAAUUUAGACUCUUGUGCAAGUCGGGCUUUUCCCACUGCACCAGGGCCUGGCAAGAGGUGGUCAUUCCUUCAGGAUCAAGAUGGAUACGAGAACCAGUUCUCUUUAACUGCAUUUCUGGGGCACGGCAGCAGCAAGACAGUGCCCGCAGCACAAGCAGCUCAAAACUUGCAAGCUAAGCAGUGGAUUCCGCCCCCAACCCCCCUUUAUCAGUAAAGGCACUUGAGCCCCCAG